rnacentral:rRNA from 1 species
AACGAACGCUGGCGGCAGGCUUAACACAUGCAAGUCGAACGGUUGUAGCAAUACAGCAGUGGCAGACGGGUGAGUAACACGUGGGAACCUUCCUAGGGGUACGGAACAACUCAGGGAAACUUGAGCUAAUACCGUAUACGUCCGUGAGGAGAAAGAUUUAUCGCCCUUAGACGGGCCCGCGUCGGAUUAGCUAGUUGGUGGGGUAACGGCCUACCAAGGCGACGAUCCGUAGCUGAUCUUAGAGGAUGAUCAGCCACACUGGGACUGAGACACGGCCCAGACUCCUACGGGAGGCAGCAGUGGGGAAUCUUGGACAAUGGGCGCAAGCCUGAUCCAGCCAUGCCGCGUGAGUGAAGAAGGUCUUCGGAUUGUAAAGCUCUUUUGCCAGGGACGAUAAUGACGGUACCUGGAGAAUAAGCCCCGGCAAACUUCGUGCCAGCAGCCACGGUAAU